rnacentral:lncRNA from 1 species
ACAGUGAUACCAGAGACGAUGUAGAACGCUUCUUAAACACUGAAUUACUGUGUGAAGAAAUGUGAAGAAAUCACAUGUUCGAUACUGCAAGCAGAAAGAGACUUCCUGUGAGAAGAAAACAGGGUACUGUUAGUACAUCAAGGAAAGCAGUUCAGAAAGGAGCUCUGUGUAUAAGGUGGGAGAAGGCUAGGACGAAUGAAUCUAAAAUGCUACCGAUGAAGAGGAUGGGACUGGACUGAGAAGUGCAUAUGAACGAGAAAAGAAAUAGUUACGAUAUCAGUACCGAAAAUAAAAGGAGGAUGAUAUAAACACAAUUGGAGAAAAGAAAAAAUAUUUGAGUACUUAAUGUGAAAAGGAAUGUGAUAUAAAACUACACUAAAUGAGACGAGGAAUUUAAUACAAUUACGGGAAGUGAAAUAGAUACUGAGUGAAGAAAGAACCGAUGUUUUUAAUAGUAAACAUUAGGAAAAAAUUGAUAUAUUCAGUAAACAAUGUGAAAACAGUGCGAGUACAAUCAUGGGGCUAAAUUUUAUGCAAAAGGACAUUACCGAUGACACUCGCUGACUUGCAGUUGUACAAUGUAGUGGAUCAAUCCGCAAGUGUGGUUAAGGAUCUAUUUUCAUCAUUCACAGAAAUUCAGAAGCACGCUGAUGUUGUGAAAUCAAACCCCAAAAUAGCAGAAUGGGCAAAGAAAUCACAACAAACGAAACAAUGAAAAUAUUAAAUCUGUUUCAACAAAACUUUAAGUGGGAUUGUUAAACAAACGAUAUUUUGAUAUACAAAAAAUAUGUCAUAUACUCAACGCAGAUACAAGUACCUACAAAAUUUUACUUUUUUCACUUUUUAAAUUUUGUUUAAAUACAAAACGAAAGAAUCUGAAUUACGAUUUGCUAUAAAUCCGGAUGACUUUAUGUCAUUUUAAAGUGUUACAAUACUGUUACAUUUUUGUAUAUUCUUUUACGUUUAUUUACUUCUAUAAGUUAUAUUAAUUUUUUUUUAGUUUUUCAAAAUUGUCAUGUACGCUGCCAUCAUUUUUUUGUAUUACACCCACAAUGAAUUGUUCAAUAAAUAGAAUUGAAAACCAC